rnacentral:rRNA from 1 species
CAAGUCGAGCGCUUCACUUCGGUGGGGAGCGGCGGACGGGUUAGUAACGCGUGGGAACAUACCCUUUUCUAAGGAAUAGCCACUGGAAACGGUGAGUAAUACCUUAUACGCCCUUCGGGGGAAAGAUUUAUCGGUGAAGGAUUGGCCCGCGUUAGAUUAGUUUGUUGGUGGGGUAAUGGCCUACCAAGACUACGAUCUAUAGCUGGUUUGAGAGGAUGAUCAGCAACACUGGGACUGAGACACGGCCCAG